UAGAAGAGGCAGUUGCGGACUCAAUACUUAUUUAGGGUCUGAGGAAAGUCCGGGCUCCCAAAAGACCAAGCCUGCUGGAUAACGCCCAGUGCGAGUGAUCGUGAGGAUAGUGCCACAGAAAAAUACCGCCAAAGUAGAUUAAUUAUUAUUGUUUAGUCACUUCAGGUAAGGGUGCAAAGGUGCGGUAAGAGCGCACCAGCAGUGUCGUGAGAUACUGGCUCGGUAAACCCCGGCGGGGAGCAAGGUCGAAGGAACAAUGGUUGGUCUUUUUCCGGUUCCAUUGCAUUAUAGAUUUAUUUGUAAUGUUUGGUGUACCGCAAGAGGUGUCUGGUAACAGGCAUCCCAGAUAGAUAACUGCCCUCAAAGCUUGUUUGAGUUGAGAGAACAGAACCCGGCUUACUUCCUACUUU
rnacentral:RNase_P_RNA from 1 species